rnacentral:rRNA from 1 species
UGCAAGUCCAAGUACACGUCCUUGAACGACGGAAACUGCGAACGGCUCAUUAAAUCAGUUGCGAUCUACUCGGCGUUCCGCGCCGCCGGAUAACCGUAGUAAUUCUAGGGCUAAUACGUGCGAAGCGCCCGAAGCCGCGAGGCGACGGGCGUUCUCGCCGGAUGUAGGAACCGACCCGGGGACCGCCGGGGCAACCCGGCGCCCCGAGACGGGGCGAACCACGGUGAAAUGACGGAUCGUCGGCCCCGCGCCGGCGACUCGCCGAAUGAGUUUCUGACCUAUCAACUCGAGACGGCGGGGUAGAGGCCCGCCGCGGUAACGACGGGUAACGGGGAAUCAGGGUUCGAUUCCGGAGAGGGAGCCCGAGAAACGGCUACCACUUCCAAGGAAGGCAGCAGGCGCGCAACUUACCCUAAUCUCGAUUCGAGGAGGUAGUGACAAGAAAUACCGAUGCGGGACCCU